CAAUGGGAGGUUUUCAACCAUAGACAACGUCCAUAGACAAAACCCGACAAUAGAUGGCGCUAGUAAAUCUUCAUACUGAACAGGACUGCAUAUUUUUUUAUAGCCGGCAUGGAUUCGAGUCCUUUCAGCCAAUACAAAAAUCCAUGUUUAUUCCACAGAAUAAUACUAUGAUUAAAUAGUUUGCCUACAAGUUGCCUAUUAGGCAAAUAUUGCCAAAUACAAAUGAUUUCGUAGCAUAACUGGUAUUUGUUGAGAACGUGCAAACUAAUAAUAAUAAAUUGCUGUUAUAUGUAGUUAUACAUAAUAUUAAGUGUGAACUAGUUGAGAUCAUCUGCAUCCUCUGUCCAUGUCCGAGGCGCGACCGCCGUGUGUAAGUAUCAUAAUUAUUCUGAGGCACGUUGGAAGUAAUGAUUUCUCUAUGGUAGAGCAGACAUUAGUAGGUGGGUACUUAGUUUUCUCUACCCACACCACAAAACUAAAGUUUUCCGACUCUCUGAAUAGCAUUUAUAGUAGAUAUGUCGUCGUGUUGUAUUGUAGCUUACUGUAGAGAAAGGGGGGUGCACAAAAUUCCACAAAACGAAACAAGACGGGCGAAAUGGAUGGAAGCAUUAAAAGAAUUAAAGCCUGGAUUAAACAUAAAAAAGCAUUCAAGAAUAUGCCCCGGCCACUUCAAACCAUCAGACUACCUCUUAGGUAAAUCAAGGAAAAUGCUAAAAAAAGAAGCUGUUCCAAGUGUAUUUUUUUGGGAUUAUUCAAUCAAAAUGACUAAAGAAGACCCAACCCAAAAAAAAACCUAUGGAAGAAGUAAGCACAUAUUAUUUACUUACUUAUAACUAUCUUGUAACUUAACUUUGUAUAUAGCUCCCAUCAGACCAUUCAGUUAUAUGCUAGACAAUACACAUAUACAUAUGCUAGACAGUACAGGCAGGGGUAAAUCGUAAUGGCAAGCAAGGGUCCAGGGGGAGUGCAAAGGUCGGUGGGGUAUAGAAGUCACAAAAGUCCAAAAGAAUAGCCAGAGUCGUCGAAAUUAUCACAAAACACAGCACCGGAGACAUUCGCGUGGCUACAAGAGAAACCGAAUGACAUAACAUUUGUUUUGUAGUAGGUCUGUGACAUUUGUCAUCUCCGUUUCCUCAGAAGAAUGUAGCUCACUACUAAAAACGACAGGCCGAAUGCCAUCUAUUGGUCGAUUUUGGAACUACUGGAAAAUCUCCCAUUUUAACC